rnacentral:rRNA from 1 species
AGCUCCAAUAGCGUAUAUUAAAGUUGUUGUGGUUAAAAAGCUCGUAGUUGGAUCUCGGCGGUCUGAGGGCGGUUCGCUUGAUUGAGUGCUACUGCUCUAUAGGCCGUGGUUUUGCCAGAGGUCUCGGGGUGCUCUUAACCGAGUGUCCUGCGAUGCUGGCAGGUUUACUUUGAAAAAAUUAGAGUGCUCAAAGCCUGAAUAUUCGUGCAUGGAAUAAUAGAAUAGGAAGUCGUUUCUAUUUUGUUGGUUUUCGGAAAUCGACUUAAUGAUUAAUAGGGACAGUCGGGGGCAUUUGUAUUCAAACGACAGAGGUGAAAUUCUUGGACCGUUUGAAGACAAACUACUGCGAAAGCAUUUGCCAAGAAUGUUUUCA